rnacentral:rRNA from 1 species
GGGUAAUACUGUAUAAUCCCUGCGGGGGAAAGAUUUAUCGCUAUUAGAUGAGCCUAUGUUAGAUUAGCUAGUUGGUAGGGUAAAGGCCUACCAAGGCGAUGAUCUAUAGCUGGUCUGAGAGGAUGAUCAGCCACACUGGAACUGAGAUACGGUCCAGACUCCUACGGGAGGCAGCAGUGGGGAAUAUUGGACAAUGGGCGCAAGCCUGAUCCAGCUAUGCCGCAUGAGUGAGGAAGGCCUUAGGGUUGUAAAACUCUUUCAGUAGGGAAGAUAAUGACGGUACCUACAGAAGAAGUCCCGGCAAACUCCGUGCCAGCAGCCGCGGUAAUACGGAGGGGGCAAGCGUUGUUCGGAAUUAUUGGGCGUAAAGGGCAUGUAGGCGGUUCGGUAAGUUAAAGGU